GUGCCAGCCGCCGCGGUAAUACAGAGGGUGCGAGCGUUAAUCGGAAUUACUGGGCGUAAAGCGCACGUAGGCGGCUUUGUAAGUCGGAUGUGAAAUCCCCGGGCUCAACCUGGGAACUGCACCCGAAACUACAUUGCUAGAGUAUGGGAGAGGGAGGCGGAAUUUCCGGUGUAGCAGUGAAAUGCGUAGAUAUCGGAAGGAACAUCAGUGGCGAAGGCGGCCUCCUGGACCAAUACUGACGCUCAGGUGCGAAAGCGUGGGGAGCAAACAGGAUUAGAUACCCCCGUAGUCC
rnacentral:rRNA from 1 species